rnacentral:lncRNA from 1 species
AUGGACAUCGAGCAGGUGAACAUUGCCUUUGACUGUGACAUGCCUGAGCAUUCUGACACCCACCUGCAUUGGUUGAACAGACGCGGUAGAGGACUUACCCACCCAUUGUGGAAAGUGACAGCUGUCCCUCUUCAGGAGAUGACACCAGGGGUAGGAGCAAAGGAUACGCUACUGCCACUUACCCCCAACCCCCACUUUAUGGCUUCCCCUUUUGCAUCACCACCACUUCUAAACCUCCAUUUCCUGAUUUGUCAGAACUUUUUUUUAACAAAACUAGAAAACACAUGCGUCUGUGAUGUCUGUAAAUGCUCCGUCCCUUUAUUGGUUUUGGGGUGACAUUAUUUUAGGCUAUGAUCCAGGGUAUAUUCCUGUUAAGGACUGUGUGCCCUGCUGUGGGGCAGAGGUCUGUGGGAGGGGUCAAAGUGGGGAUGUGACUAAAAAGACUGCAGAGACCAUGGCUCCCCACUUUUUUCCAAUUUCUGACCCUUUGUAGAGGUGUCUUCCGUUUUUCUGAGUGGCCUGGGGGAGGCUGGGAUGUUUCUGAUUGAGGAGCUCGGUGAGCUGGUGCGUAAUAUUUCCUUUGUUGGAGGGUGAAGUGGGAACUGGUGGAAAGCUUAGGCGUCUCCUCUCAGGCUGUCUCUGUGUCUCCUCAUCCGUUCCUUCAGCUUCUGGGUCUUGAGCACCAGGGCAUGGGCUUCCCAGGCCCCUUGUUGCCCUUCCAGUAGGGCCUGGGACAGCUCCAGCUGCUGCUCCAGCAACUCCUCAGCUUAGGCCAGCUCAUCUGAGGGGUGAGGCUGAGGAUCCUGGAUGAGGGGGACAUUGGGGAGGGAACUUCAUCAGCCAGGACAGGGGCCUGAGGCACGUUGGAAGUCAGGAAUUAGGCCUCUCCCAUUUUGGGACCCUAUUGAAGGUCAUCUGUACUGUGCAGCCCACCUAGCUUCCUGUGUUAGGUAAAGGCCUCUAGGUGAUAGGGGCUAUGACUGGCCUGGUACAUGGAUAUAGGGUUAUGGGAAAAGAAAGACUGAUUGUCCCCACCCCUCAGAAGCAAUGACCUCUUAGAUGGGAACUCUUCAUGGACUGUGCAGGGAGGGAAGCGUGUGGGAGAGGGAGCCCUGAGGCCUGGAGUGGGGUCGGGGUGGGGAGCUGAGAGUUGGAACAAGGCAACAAACUCCAGGAGUGUAGGGAGCUGGUAUCUGCAGGUCUGUGCUGCAGGAUAAGUUUGAAAGGACCCCUUCGCAGUAGAAAUACCCCCCACAUGCCCCUCACGACCUGCACCCCCACACUUGGGGCUGCUUACCUGUGAGUAUGACUUCAUCUUUCACCAAUACCACACUGUGUUGGUUACCAUAGCUUUAUAGUAAGUCUUGAAGUCCGGCUGUGUGAGUCCUCUGACUCUGCUGUCUCAUGGUGUGCUGGCUACUCUGGCUCUUUGGCCUCUCCAUAUAAACUUCAGAAUGAGUUCAUCAAUAUCCUUGCUGGGGUAUUGACAAUAUCAGCUGUCAGUAUCUAAAAUAACUUGCUGGGAUUUUAAUUUGAAUUCUGUUGAAUCUAUAGAUCAGCUUGGGAAGAACUGACAUCUUGACAAGAUUGAAUUUUCCUAUCCAUGAACAUGGAAUAUUUUUCCAUUUAUUUAGUUCGAUGAUUUCUUUCAUCAGAGUUUUCUAAUUUUCCUCAUAUAGAUCUUGUACAUAUUUUGAUAGAUUUAUACCAAGUGUUUAAUUUUUUGUGUGCUAAUGUAAAUGGUAUUGUGUUUUUAGUUUCAGCUUCCAGUUGUUCAUUGCUGAUCUAUAGGAAAGUGAUUGACUUUUGCAUAUCAACCUUGUGUCCUGCAUUUUGCUAUAAUUGCUUAGUUGUUAUUCCAGGAGUUAGUGGUUGUUGUUGUUGAUUCUUUGGAUUUUCUACAUAGACAAUCAAGUCGUCUGCCAAUAAACAAAGUUUUCUUUCUUCCUUCCUCCUCUGU